UCCCACAAUUUAUUGGAUUUUCCCACUUGAAUAGUUGCUCCGAACUUCCAGCUCAAACAAACCCCCAUUCUAUUCUCGAUGGAAUCGAUUGAGAAGCAAACUAAACAACCGAUUUUUAUUGGUUCUAAGAUCCUUUGGGUUCUGAAAUUCUUCGUAAUUAUUUAAUUUCUUUGUUCUUUGGUUAGAUUUUCUAUUCUUCUUCGAUUGCUAGACGAAGUUGUUGCGGGAGGUGAGCUGCUGAAGACGAUGGUGGAGAGUGCAUAGAAGGAGGAACGGCAUUUUGUAGUCAUAAGUGUGGUAACAAGCAGAUGCUUUUCGACAAUCAAAUGGAGAAUUCAUAUCAUUAUGAGCCUCCCUUUUGGCUUUUGUUGGAAGGCCUGAAGGGGAGAUAUUUUGCAACCUGAUAUAAGUGUUUUUUGUUACGGUUAAUCUAAAUCCCUGACCAGGCUAUUAUAGAGUACAAUUCAGGAGUAUGGAGAAAGUCUUUCCUAAUUUUUUUGUGGAUUUCUGCUCUUGUCUUUCUUUCUUCUUCCUCUUCUUCUCUUUUUAAUUUUGUUUCCGAUUAAAGAAGACUGUAAUCUAUUUUGCAGGGAGAGUUUUAUUGAGAAGCUUACUGUUGCAGUUUUUGGCUGAUGAGCUCAUUAUUUGAACAUUCUAAUUCAAUGUUCUCUCGUUUUCUAA